rnacentral:rRNA from 1 species
UAGUCCACGCCGUAAACGAUGUCUACUAGCCGUUGGGAGACUUGAUUUCUUAGUGGCGCAGCUAACGCACUAAGUAGACCGCCUGGGGAGUACGGCCGCAAGGUUAAAACUCAAAUGAAUUGACGGGGGCCCGCACAAGCGGUGGAGCAUGUGGUUUAAUUCGAUGCAACGCGAAGAACCUUACCAGGUCUUGACAUCCUCGGAACUUUCCAGAGAUGGAUUGGUGCCUUCGGGAACCGAGAGACAGGUGCUGCAUGGCUGUCGUCAGCUCGUGUCGUGAGAUGUUGGGUUAAGUCCCGUAACGAGCGCAACCCUUGUCCUUAGUUGCCAGCACAUUAUGGUGGGAACUCUAAGGAGACUGCCGGUGACAAACCGGAGGAAGGUGGGGACGACGUCAAGUCAUCAUGGCCCUUACGACCUGAGCUACACACGUGCUACAAUGGAACGCACAGAGGGUUGCAACCUCGCGAGAGUGAGCCAAUCCCACAAAACGUUUCGUAGUCCGGAUCGGAGU